GCUGGGCACGGUGGCGCACACCUGUAAUCCCAGAGGCUCAGGAGGCUGAGGCAGGAGGAUCAUGAGUUCAAAGCCAGCCUCAGCAACAGCGAGGCACUUAGCAGCUCAGUGAGACCCUGUCUCUA
rnacentral:sRNA from 1 species